rnacentral:tRNA from 1 species
GCUGGGGUGGCGAAAUUGGUAGACGCACUAGCCUUAGGAGCUAGCGGGGCAACCCAUUGGGAGUUCGAGUCUCCCCCCCAGCACCA